rnacentral:rRNA from 1 species
GACAGAGGAUGCAAGCGUUAUCCGGAAUGAUUGGGCGUAAAGCGUCUGUAGGUGGCUUUUCAAGUCCGCCGUCAAAUCCCAGGGCUCAACCCUGGACAGGCGGUGGAAACUGCCAAGCUGGAGUACGGUAGGGGCAGAGGGAAUUUCCGGUGGAGCGGUGAAAUGCGUAGAUAUCGAGAGGAACACCUGCGGCGAAGGCGGGUUGCUGGGCUGACACUGACGCUGAUGCGCGAAAGCCAGGGGAGCGAACGGG